rnacentral:lncRNA from 1 species
AUGAUUCUUUUGAACAGGAAGUUAAGACUGCCACCUGGCCACGCCUCUGAAGAACAGGCAAGAAGUGUGGCAGCGGCGGGUCUGAGCCUGGCCGAGGGACGGGCGGCCGUGGGCCAGGCGACUCUUCCCGGAGGCGAGGGCGAGGCGGGAGACUUGGCCGAGUCUCCGGCGGAGGCGUGCAAGGUAUAUUUUUUAAAAAAGGAAGAAAAGCCCCUGAAGAGCAAAGGGGUCAACCAUCUGGCCAGAAGCUACGAGAGGCCACAGGACUGCAUCAUCUCCCCAGGGGGUCUUCAACCUGACUUGAGGUGGGAGCAAAGACAUUCUCCGCUCACAUGGACUCACCACACCCAGGCCUGAUGAAGGGAAUCGGGGGAGCAGAGAGGGAUGCUGCCAAGCUCCAGGGACUGCUGAGGGGAAGCCAGGGCCCCCGACUGCAGAUGCUGCUUCUGCUCCAGUUCUCUGAGGCUGAGGGACAGCCCUGCCCCUGUACGUCCAAGACUACUCAGCCUCGGCACACCACGGCACGUGGGACGCUGGGGCCUUCACUUAGAGUUGGAGUCAGGUUCACUUUAGAACACACCUCUUGAAGAGAAAGGCAUAGAGAGGGAAUUGGCUGGCCCUAAGGGGAGUGACCCAGGGGUUCCACCAAGGAGGAGCUUCUUCCCAGCCUGAAGAUAGUGUCCUCACUCUCUCAUCUCAGCAAGGCAGAGGCCCACAAGCAGACACACAGGUCUGGGGAAGGUAACCAGUGCUUCCAUCCCAGUGUUGAUGUGUUUCACACUGGCUUUCUUUGCAAUCUGUACUAGUUUCCUAUGGCCGCUAUAACAAAUCACCACCACUCUUGGCUUAAAAUGACACAAAUUUAUGACCUCACAGUUCUGGAGAUCAGAAGUCCAAUGAGUUGUCAAGUCUCCCUGGGCUAAAAUUGCGGUGUCAGCAGAACUGGCUCCUUUCUGGAGGUUCUAGGGAAGAAAUCAUUUCCUUAGGGUCGUAGGACUGAGCUCCUCGUUUUCUUGCUUAGCUGUAAACAGAGGGUCAUCCUCAGCUUCUAUAGGCCACCACGUUCCUUGGCUCUUCUCCACCUUCCUCUUUCUUCAAAGCCCGCAAUGGCAGGUUGAGUCCGUCUCAUGUUGCAUGUCUCUGACCUCCUUUUCUGAGUCCGCUUCGCAUUUUUAAGGACACCCUGUGAUGAGAUGGGCCCCACCCGGAUAAUCCAGGAUCAUCUCCCCAUCUCAAGGUCCUUAAUUUUAAUCACAUUGCCAAUAUACUUCCAGGUUCUGGGUUUGGGGACAUGAACAUCUUUGGGGACGGGGCAUUAUUUUACCUGUAACAAAAUCUAGUCAAAAGUAAUUUGGUUGAGCCACCUGUCCACCUCAUCUUGGGCCUCUUGACCCUUCAAUCUAGGAUGCUAAACUUUCUUGAGGAUCUAAAGUCCUCCUCAGUAUUUCUGGGAACCCCUGGGGGACUUUCUCCUCCCCAGUCCCCACUAGCUUUAACUGUCUCCUGCCCCUGGAGCCUUUUUCUCAUUUCUGGGUUUUUGCAACUGCCCCAUAAUCAUCACCUGGUGUGGCCAUUUGGGAUUAUUUAUGAACCCCCAAAAUGAUAAGGAUUAUGUUUGUAUACUGGUCUGUUCCUCUGGACUUGAUCCUCUUUGGUUUAUUAGAUUCAGCUGAGAUGUCUUUGAUUAAAUUAUGUUAAGAUCAGGACUUUGAUUCGACCACAUCAGUAGGGUGUAACUCAGGUUAAGUCCCUGCCCCCUUGGUGGGCUGAGAUAAAUGGGCGCUCACUCAAGAAGACACAGAAGAAGAUACACAGGAAGAGAGAGAGAGCUCUGUAGACACAGCAGAGGAGAGACAUGGCAGAGGAGAGAGCCCCAGGAAGAGAGAAGAGGCAUUUGCCUGACAGUUUGCUGCCUAGCCUGGAAAGAAACAAGCCCUAUGCCAUCCUGUAGCUGAGAGGGAGGAAGGCUGAACCCCCCGAGAUGGCCCGCCAUCUUGCUUCAACACGUGGCAACUGACUUGGGUGAGAAAGGACCUCUUAUGGUACCUUGAGUUGGACUCUUUAGGACCUUGUGACUGUAAGCUUUUAUCACAAAGAAAUACUCUUUAUAUAACCCAACAGAAUUCUGGUACUUUGCAUCAAUACCCCUUUGGCUGACUAAUACACCUGGCAAUGAUCAAAAUAUCAGACUCAGUCCCUUUCCUUCGUCCGUCCACUCCCCGAGAGGCACACACUCAAACCCACAGGCCUCUCUGUGCAUUCAGCCUGGGAGACACGCCAAACCCUGCUGCGCCCACUGGACUAUCUUGGGACUAAAAGCCACACACUAGGGGGUCUUUUCUCUGGUCUCCCCUUAUCCCUUCAC